rnacentral:rRNA from 1 species
GCGUCGUCUUCAGAGUUUGAUCCUGGCUCAGGAUGAACGCUGGCGGCGUGCUUAAUACAUGCAAGUCGAACGGGCAGAGGGAGCUUGCUCCUGAAGCUAGUGGCGGACGGGUGAGUAACGCGUGGGUAACCUGCCUCAUACAGGGGGAUAACAGUGAGAAAUCACUGCUAAUACCGCAUAUGCGCACAGUACCGCAUGGUACAGUGUGGAAAACUCCGGUGGUAUGAGAUGGACCCGCGUUGGAUUAGCUAGUUGGUAGGGUAGUGGCCUACCAAGGCGACGAUCCAUAGCCGGCCUGAGAGGGUGGACGGCCACAUUGGGACUGAGACACGGCCCAG